CUUUACCAAACCAUUGCAAACUCCGAAUACCGAUGAGUGCGAGCUUGGGAGACAGACGUCGGGUGCUAACGUCCGGCGUCAAGAGGGAAACAACCCAGACCGCCAGCUAAGGUCCCAAAGAUUGGCUAAGUGGAAAACGAAGUGGGAAGGCUAAAACAGUCAGGAUGUUGGCUUAGAAGCAGCCAUCAUUUAAAGAAAGCGUAAUAGCUCACUGAUCGAGUCGUCCUGCGCGGAAGAUGUAACGGGGCUAAGCCAGUCACCGAAGCUGCGGAUAUGCUUUUAGCAUAUGGUAGGAGAGCGUUCUGUAAGCCCGCGAAGGUGUCUUGUAAAGGAUGCUGGAGGUAUCAGAAGUGCGAAUGCUGACAUGAGUAGCGAUAAUGGGGGUGAAAAGCCCCCACGCCGUAGGCCCAAGGUUUCCUGUUCAACGUUCAUCGGAGCAGGGUGAGUCGGCCCCUAAGGCGAGGCAGAGAUGCGUAGCUGAUGGGAAGCAGGUUAAUAUUCCUGCACCGUCGUAUGAUGCGAUGGGGGGACGGAUCGCGGAAGGUUGUCUAGCUGUUGGAAUAGCUAGUUUCUGGUUCAUAGAAGGCGCUUAGGCAAAUCCGGGCGCAGGAUUCAAGGGACUGGGACGAGGAGUUUAGGCUCUGAAGCAAUCGGAAGUGGUUCCAAGAAAAGCCUCUAAGCUUCAGUCAUACGAGACCGUACCGCAAACCGACACAGGUGGGCGAGAUGAGUAUUCUAAGGCGCUUGAGAGAACUCGGGAGAAGGAACUCGGCAAAUUGGUACCGUAACUUCGGGAAAAGGUACGCCCUUGUAGCUUGGCUGAUUUACUUCAGUAGGGCGGACGGGUUGCAAUAAACUGGUGGCUGCGACUGUUUAAUAAAAACACAGCACUCUGCAAACACGAAAGUGGACGUAUAGGGUGUGACGCCUGCCCGGUGCUGGAAGAUUAAAUGAUGGGGUGCAAGCUCUUGAUUGAAGUCCCAGUAAACGGCGGCCGUAACAAUAACGGUCCUAAGGUAGCGAAAUUCCUUGUCGGGUAAGUUCCGACCUGCACGAAUGGCGUAACGAUGGCCACACUGUCUCCUCCCGAGACUCAGCGAAGUUGAAGUGUUUGUGAUGAUGCAAUCUACCCGCGGCUAGACGGAAAGACCCCAUGAACCUUUACUGUAGCUUUGCAUUGGACUUUGAAUCAAUCUGUGUAGGAUAGGUGGGAGGCUUUGAAGCGGGGACGCCAGUUCUCGUGGAGCCAACCUUGAAAUACCACCCUGGUUC
rnacentral:rRNA from 1 species